UAUAAAAUAAAUAGCUUGGGGAGGGGGAGGGGAGUGGAAGAGGAGGAAAAUCUCACCGCUUGACAUUAUUUUACCAUCAGCAUACUGGCACAGAAAUGGAAUGACCCCACCAUACAAAGUAAAUGAUAGGAACAUGGUGAGAUUGGCAGUUAUUGAUGGGUUUUGCUGCUGGAUAGUGGGGAAGAGGCAGACCGGCAGCAGGAUGAGCACAAGAUGCCUGUUUGCUUACCUUGUGUGAUAAUAAAUAAAAAAAUAGCAGCAGCAGUAGACAUUUAUUGCAUUAGACCUUGGAUCAUUGUGAGAUAAAAUCAAAUAACAGGAUUUGCAUAAAGAUAAUGAAUUAUUAAAAGUAAUAAAAUCAGAUAAUACGGAGCAUACAUACAUAUUACUUAUGCAAAGUACUGCUUAUUUGAAAAUAAUGCUUAUAACAAUGUUCCCAACAGGAGGAAAAAAUACAAUUUAAUGUCAGGGAUUUCAUAUUUUCAGAUCUGCCUGUUUGCCAAAUCUGAUUCUAUUCACAUUUUCUUACAUUUGGCAGCCUUUAUUAUACAGACAGCAACUUUCCAAGUGACACACUGGGUAAUUUCUUGCAGCAAAAAAAAGUAUUCACUAAUCAAAUAAAACAAACAAACAAUGACAAAACCCCACAAAGAAACAGUUUUCUCUUAAUAUCUCUAGCUUUCCUUUAUUUUGGUAAGGAAUCUCAGCAACGUGCUCUGAUGUCCCUGUCUAGGUGAUAUUCAAGGAUUGUAGUGUGUUAGAAUCUUCUGAAACACAGAGUGUAUCUAGAUCAGGGCCCACCCAAACUAAGACCUGUGGGACUCCAAGGUUAUUUACCCGGCCCCUGCUCUAAACAUAAGUCUUAGGAUCACCCUAAGUCUGAAACGAUUUGAAGGCACACAAUAACAACAAUCCUAAUUAACUUGAUUAGCUUAACAGCCAAAAGAAGGCCCACAAUUCCGAUUGAAACACUGGUAAGUCUGUGUUGGUUUAAAUUGUUCUUCAUUUUAAAUAUUACAUUGUUCUUUCAUUUUUUUUUUCAAACUAUAGUUUGGCUCCCCAACAGGGACUGUGAAUGGUCCAUCUACCUAAAAAGUUUGAUCUAAACUGUGGAAUUAAUGAAGUUUGAAAUCACUUUAAUUGCCGUAUCUCAAUGCUAUGGAAUUAAGACAGCCGUAGUUUUACAGUUUCUUUAAUCUUCUUUAUCAAAAAGUCCUGGUGCCUCACCAAACUACACAUCCCAGGAUUCCAUGACCAUUAAAGUGGGGCCAAACAACAUUAAUUUUGUUGUAUGUCAGGCUAUUCUAUCUGUGUCUGUUCCCACCGUACAGCCUGAGUCUGAAGUUCAUGAAGGAAAUUAUACUUCAGUUGAGGGGCUUGGGCAGGAAUUAAAUGUUAAUGAGAGGCCUGAGCAGCUGGAAUUAAGUGUAAAUGAGCAAGGUUCAGAUGAGAAGCUUGAGCCAGCGGAGUUGUAGGGGGAUGACCUUUCACUGAGUUCUGCAGAGUUACAGUAUGGUAGUGACUUGGAGGUUGUUUCUCCAGGUGGCAAUGAGAAGAUGACCUUGAACCGAAAGCAAUUUUACAGUAAAGAUAGAAAAGUCUCUCAGAAACUCAGACGAUCUGCUCGUUUACAACAAAAAAGAGAUAAUGAUCAGUCAGCUGCCUCAAAAGGGAAAAAGAAUGCAUUUCUUAUGGUCUGGGAUUUUGGGGAAAGCUUUUAUUGAUUCAUGUAGCUUUCGUUUUCAAGUCGAGGCAACUUUGCUUUACCUCCAAGGAUCCUGUUUCCAAGUGCUCCGUGUUUCCAAGGAUAUUUUCUAGUUUCAAUUGGCCUUUGGGAUUUAAUGUUUGCUUUUUGAAUUACUUUAUCCAAGUUUUGCCUAUGGUCUUGUUUUGCUAUGUUUCCUGUUUUCACCUACCUUUCUCCAUGUAAUUUCUGCAGUUUCAUGCUUUGGAUUUAAACUGAAACUUUAAAGACAUUCUUUACUGGCUACUUUUUGGAUUGUACUUUUUACUAUUUUAUCCUGGUUUGCUUUUAUACAUAUAUUUUACAAAAAACUGCUUGCUGUUUAAUCAGCUGGUGUGUUGCUUAUAGUCAAAAAGAUUUCUGCCUUGGAGUGUGACACGUUCUACAGUGAAGAUGCACCCAUAGUCAUUAGCUGAAUUGGCGCAAAGGCAGGUUUGAUCUUCUGGAGUCUGACACUGGAUCUACACUGCCCUAUAUCCCAGGAUCUGAUCCCAAAUUAUUUGCUUAUCCCAGAUUAUCUGGCAGUGUAGACUCAUAUAACCCAAUUCAAAGCAGAUAAUUCAAAUUCUUAGCAGAUAGCUCCAGCCUGAAUUAGUGAGAGCCUUUAAUAUUCCAAACAUCUGUUAUUGAUCUAAUUAGCUCAGGUAUUUGUGAUAAAUGGUGAAAAAUAAUAAAUCAUGUUGUAUUGUUUAGACAAUUUUAUUUAGUUAUCAUUUGUCCAAGUAAAGGAAAUGCCUGAUGAUGAAGAUGUAGGCUGGCUGGUGAUUGACACUUCAUCUUUGUUGUAUUUUGUGUCCACAGGGACAGUAGACUGUAUUUUUUGUUUUCUCCGCAAACUGCUCUCUUCUGCUUCUUAUCUUUUUUUGUCAGUGGUGUUUACUUAGAAUCUAAAGGAAGCUUUGACCCAAAGGGGAGAAAGUGGAUAAAGAAGUAUAGGAUGAACAUUUCCAAAGGACAGUAAAGUAAAAACAAAAGAAUAAGUAAAAGUAAGAAGGGAACUUUAAGAAAUUGACAACAUAUUAUACAGCUGUAGUCAUGGGUCGGGAAGAGCUCAGUUUCAAUAUAAUUUUCGUUCUCUCACACUUAUACACUUCAUGUGUGAAAUAACUAACCAGCAGGUGGUUAAGUUGAGAACCCUUUCACUCUACACCGUCAUAGCACUAUGAUUCCAGUUUAAUUACCAUGACAUCCUGAUUAAUCCUUGGAUUUGGCAUAUUUAGAAUUCUCAUUCAUAAAACAUGAAUGCUUCGCCAGACUAUAAAUCUAAGGAUUCCAUAAGAAGUUGCUAUGGCACUUAAUCUAGAAUUGUAGUGCUAUAAUUGUAUACUGUGAAAGGCCUCCAGGUGUUUUAUUCAGUUCUUGGUGGCCCUACCAAUGUAGCAAUAAGUUGGCUCUCAAUAUAGUUUGUAAAUAAAAUAUUUUGUUGUUUAAAAACAAAAAAAUAAUUAAGCCACUAUUCUCUUAGAUAUUUACCCAUCUUGUCAUGGUGAGGUUGCUUGUGUGUUCCAAUAAAUUGCAGGUGUAACCAUCGCAACCAUGUACUCCCAAGGAGGGGUCGCAGAAGAGGUUCCAGACUGAGCACAAUCUAAACACCUCAACGGUGGAUCAGGUGGAAGACAACAUGAUAAAUGUUACAACAGCAGUGGAGACGGAAGAAGGCUGCAACAGACUGAGAAGCCACCAUUGUCAUGUUAACCAUGCCACUGGUUGGGACCCUCACUCUGUGAAGACUGUGUUUUGAUCAGCUGUGUACAGACCUCCAUACAUUAAAACAAACUCUCAAACAGGUAUCUUCCAAGGCUGCCUUCUACCUGGAAACCAAUGCCUCACUAUGGAAGAACAUGCGGGCCAAGAAUAGGGCGCCAUAAUCACCUACCUAUCCACCGCCAAGACACUACACUUGGAAGCCAUCAUACUUCGACAACAAGGGAUCGCCUAAGUAAAAAAGGAGGUACACUAUGGAGGUUAAAGAAUCUGCGGUGACCAACUGGACUUUCUGUUAUAAAGAAAGCGAAACACAACAAUGGAAGAGACAGCUGAGAUGUUGGGAUGUAGCCGAGCAAGCUUCCUGCAGUUGUACGCCUGUUCCUGUGGUUUUGUGGGACACUGAUUCAGAAAAUUGCAUUUAAUAGUCCUCAUCAGCUCUCGAUUGGCAUCCAUCACCCAGAAGACCUUUUCAUUGGCUGCCCCAAGACUGUAGAAUGAUCUUACAGAAGAACUCUGACAGCUAAACCAGUUGUUGGAAUUUCAGAUGCAACUGAAGACCCAUCUCUUCUGGCAUACUUACCCUACCCAGUCAAUUUUAACUUGUGAAUUUUAACCUGCAUUUUAUCAGUAAAUUUAAUCUGCUUUUUA